rnacentral:rRNA from 1 species
CCUACGGGCGGCAGCAGUGGGGAAUAUUGGGCAAUGGGCGCAAGCCUGACCCAGCAACGCCGCGUGAAGGAAGAAGGCCCUCGGGUUGUAAACUUCUUUUGUCAGGGACGAAGCAAGUGACGGUACCUGACUAAUAAGCCACGGCUAACUACGUGCCAGCAGCCGCGGUAAUACGUAGGUGGCAAGCGUUAUCCGGAUUUACUGGGUGUAAAGGGCGUGUAGGCGGGGAAGCAAGUCAGAUGUGAAAUUCCAGGGCUCAACCCUGGAACUGCAUUUGAAACUGUUUUUCUUGAGUGAUGGAGAGGCAGGCGGAAUUCCGUGUGUAGCGGUGAAAUGCGUAGAUAUACGGAGGAACACCAGUGGCGAAGGCGGCCUGCUGGACAGUAACUGACGCUGAGGCGCGAAAGCGUGGGGAGCAAACAGGAUUAGAUACCCGAGUAGUC